rnacentral:rRNA from 1 species
CAGUCGCCACGGGAAUACGAAGGGUGCAAGCGUUAAUCGGAAUUACUGGGCGUAAAGCGUGCGUAGGCGGUUUGUUAAGUCUGUUGUGAAAUCCCCGGGCUCAACCUGGGAAUGGCAAUGGAUACUGGCAAGCUAGAGUGUGUCAGAGGAUGGUGGAAUUCCCGGUGUAGCGGUGAAAUGCGUAGAGAUCGGGAGGAACAUCAGUGGCGAAGGCGGCCAUCUGGGACAACACUGACGCUGAGGCACGAGAGCGUGGGGAGCAAACAGGAUUAGAUACCCCCGUAGUCCCUGUCUCUUAUAC